GAUGAACGCUGGCGGCGUGCCUAAUACAUGCAAGUCGAGCGAACGGACGAGAAGCUUGCUUCUCUGAUGUUAGCGGCGGACGGGUGAGUAACACGUGGAUAACCUACCUAUAAGACUGGGAUAACUUCGGGAAACCGGAGCUAAUACCGGAUAAUAUUUUGAACCGCAUGGUUCAAAAGUGAAAGACGGUCUUGCUGUCACUUAUAGAUGGAUCCGCGCUGCAUUAGCUAGUUGGUAAGGUAACGGCUUACCAAGGCAACGAUGCAUAGCCGACCUGAGAGGGUGAUCGGCCACACUGGAACGGAGACAAGGUCCAGACUCCUACGGGAGGCAGCAGUAGGGAAUCUUACGCAAUGGGCGAAAGCCUGACGGAGCAACGCCGCGUGAGUGAUGAAGGUCUUCGGAUCGUAAAACUCUGUUAUUAGGGAAGAACAUAUGUGUAAGUAACUGUGCACAUCUUGACGGUACCUAAUCAGAAAGCCACGGCUAACUACGUG
rnacentral:rRNA from 1 species